AGAAAAACUAAAUUAAAUAAUAAAAACUGGUAGAUUAAAGAAGAGUAAAUGGGCGGAUGUAGCCAAGUGGAUCAAGGCAAU
rnacentral:tRNA from 4 species